AACGAACGCUGGCGGCGUGCUUAACACAUGCAAGUCGAACGCGAACGAGUUCUUCGGAACUUUAGUAGAGUGGCGCACGGGUGAGUAACGCGUAAGUAAUCUACCCUCGCAUCCGGGAUAACCCACCGAAAGGUGUGCUAAUACCAGAUACGUCUGAAAUGAUAACUUUUUUUCAGAGAAAGAUGGCCUCUUCAUGAAAGCUAUUGUGCGGGGAGGAGCUUGCGUACCAUUAGCUAGUUGGUAGGGUAACGGCCUACCAAGGCCACGAUGGUUAGCGGGUCUGAGAGGAUGAUCCGCCACACUGGAACUGGAACACGGACCAGACUCCUACGGGAGGCAGCAGUGAGGAAUAUUGCGCAAUGGGGGCAACCCUGACGCAGCGACGCCGCGUGGAUGAUGAAGGCCUUCGGGUUGUAAAAUCCUGUCAGAUGGGAAGAAGUGCUAUAGGAUUAAUAUGUCUAUAGUUUGACGGUACCAUCAAAGGAAGCACCGGCUAACUCCGUGCCAGCAGCCGCGGUAAGACGAAGGUGGCAACCGUUGUUCGGAAUCACUGGGCAUAAAGCGCACGUAGGCGGGAGAGCAAGUCGGGUGUGAAAUCCCUCGGCCUAACCGAGGAACUGCGCCCGAAACUGCUUUUCUUGAGGACAGGAGGGGAGCGUGGAAUUCCUGGUGGAGCGGUGAAAUGCGUUGAUAUCAGGAGGAACACCAGCGGCGAAGGCGACGCUCUGGCCUGUUUCUGACGC
rnacentral:rRNA from 1 species